GAAAUGCGAUAAGUAGUGUGAAUUGCAGAAUUCAGUGAAUCAUCGAAUCUUUGAACGCACAUUGCGCCCCUUGGUAUUCCAUGGGGCAUGCCUGUUCGAGCGUCAUUUGUACCCUCAAGCUCUGCUUGGUGUUGGGUGUUUGUCCCGUCUCCGCGCGUGGACUCGCCCCAAAGUGAUUGGCAGCCGGCGUACUGGUCCCGGAGCGCAGCACAUGUCGCGCAAACGAGUGCCUUGGUACGGCGGCGUCCAUAAGCCCCUCUCUCACGCUCUUGGCCUCGGAUCAGGUAGGGAUACCCGCUGAACUUAAGC
rnacentral:misc_RNA from 1 species